GACAGAGGGUGCAAACGUUGUUCGGAAUUACUGGGCGUAAAGCGCGUGUAGGCUGCUUGGAAAGUCGGAUGUGAAAGCCCCGGGCUCAACCCGGGAAGUGCACUCGAAACUUCCGAGCUUGAGUUCUGGAGAGGAUAGCGGAAUUCUCGGUGUAGAGGUGAAAUGCGUAGAUAUCUGGAGGAACACCGGUGGCGAAGGCGACAUCCUGGACCGGUAUUGACGCUGAGGCGCGAAAGCCAGGGGAGCAAACGGG
rnacentral:rRNA from 1 species